GCGUGAGUGAAGAAGGCCCUAGGGUUGUAAAGCUCUUUCGGUGGGGAAGAUAAUGACGGUACCCACAAAAGAAGCCCCGGCUAACUCCGUGCCAGCAGCCGCGGUAAUACGGAGGGGGCUAGCGUUACUCGGAAUUACUGGGCGUAAAGCGAGCGUAGGCGGUUAAUCAAGUUGGGGGUGAAAGCCCGGGGCUCAACCCCGGAAAUGCCCUCAAAACUAGUUAACUAGAGGACGGGAGAGGGGAGUGGAACUCCCAGUGUAGAGGUGAAAUUCGU
rnacentral:rRNA from 1 species